GAUGAACGCUGGCGGCGUGCCUAACACAUGCAAGUCGAGCGAACAGACGAGGAGCCUGCUCCUCUGACGUUAGCGGCGGACGGGUGAGUAACACGUGGAUAACCUACCUAUAAGACUGGGAUAACUUCGGGAAACCGGAGCUAAUACCGGAUAAUAUAUUGAACCGCAUGGUUCAAUAGUGAAAGACGGUUUUGCUGUCACUUAUAGAUGGAUCCGCGCCGCAUUAGCUAGUUGGUAAGGUAACGGCUUACCAAGGCAACGAUGCGUAGCCGACCUGAGAGGGUGAUCGGCCACACUGGAACUGAGACACGGUCCAGACUCCUACGGGAGGCAGCAGUAGGGAAUCUUCCGCAAUGGGCGAAAGCCUGACGGAGCAACGCCGCGUGAGUGAUGAAGGUCUUCGGAUCGUAAAACUCUGUUAUUAGGGAAGAACAAAUGUGUAAGUAACUAUGCACGUCUUGACGGUACCUAAUCAGAAAGCCACGGCUAACUACGUG
rnacentral:rRNA from 1 species